CAUAAGCAAAGUUAGAAUAUAUGGCAAUGUUUUUAUGACGUAGAAUACAAAUGAUGGGAGACCAUUUAACCAAACUGACACACUAGUCUGGAAAGCAUUAUUAUUCUGAAAACUUUGAGGAUUCAGUUUAACAUUCCACUGUUCAUGAAAGGGAAGCAUCUACUUUUAUUUUAGUUACUGGUAAUGGAAGAUAGAAAUUAUCUCAACAGAGAUAUUUUCAGGGUUUAAUGGUGAGGCAAGAUUAAUAUUCUCUGAUUAUCAUUAAUCUGUAGAUAAACUUUCCAACAGUUGUAAUAACCUGUUUGAAUAUCUUUUGCAACAGAAACCAUGGCUAAUGAAAACCACUCUGCAUUUUCAUAAUCUACUGUCAUCUGUGUAGCUUGUUGCCUUAUCAGGGCCUGAGAGAAGACUGCCGCAAGAAAAGAGCAAGCAUCCAAGCAGAAGGAAGCAGGGUCUGAUAAACGAAUUAUUCUCCAGCAUUAUGGUGAUCACAGAGAAGAAACUUUCCCCAAGACAUGGAAAGAUCAGACUGGCAUGACUGUCACACCAGAGCUGCUGUAUGGCAAACCUCAGAUCCCAGUGGCCAAGAAAACAGACUCAGCGCAGAGAAAACUGCAUUAUGAACUGAAUGAUGGUUCAUCUUUAAUUUACUAUCCUUCUGAAUAUCUUGCUGUUUGCCAAAGCUACUGCAAUCUCCCAGGUGGGGGCUUGUGUACCAACAUAUUUAGUCCUUCUCCAGAUCACUCUAUAGUUGGAACUUUCACCCCUUUUGGACACGGCAGUAUCUGUCUUCCUAGCAGGUAGGCAGAUGCACUAUAAGCAUUUGCUUGAUGCUUCAAAUUACAGCACAGUGCAUGGAGCUAUAUAAGGAUCUG
rnacentral:lncRNA from 1 species